AUUGAACGCUGGCGGCAGGCUUAACACAUGCAAGUCGAACGAGGGGCGGAGGGGUGGGUAAUGCUGGGAAACCUGGCUUAUGGGGGGGGAUAACUAGGGGAAACGGUAGCAAAAACCGCUUACAAUAGGAUGGGCCCAGGUGGGUUUAGGUAGUUGGUGAGGGAAAGGCUCACCAAGCCGACGAUCUCUAGCUGGUCUGAGAGGAUGAUCAGCCACACUGGGACUGAGACACGGCCCAGACUCCUACGUGAGGCAGCAGUGGGGAAUAUUGCACAAUGGGCGCAAGCCUGAUGCAGCCAUGCCGCGUGUAUGAAGAAGGCCUUAGGGUUGUAAAGUACUUUCAGCGGGGAGGCGUUACCCGCAGAAGAAGCACCGGCUAACUCCGUGCCAGCAGCCGCGGUAAUUC
rnacentral:rRNA from 1 species